UACGAAGGGGGCUAGCGUUGUUCGGAUUUACUGGGCGUAAAGCGCACGUAGGCGGAUCUUUAAGUCGGGGGUGAAAUCCUGGAGCUCAACUCCAGAACUGCCUUCGAUACUGGGAGUCUUGAGUUUCGGGAGAGGUGAGUGGAACUGGCGAGUGUAGAGGUGAAAUUCGUAGAUAUUCGCAAGAACACCAGUGGCGAAGGCGGCUCACUGGCCCGAUACU
rnacentral:rRNA from 1 species